rnacentral:rRNA from 1 species
AGCAGCCGCGGUAAUUCCAGCUCCAAUAGCGUAUAUUAAAGUUGCUGCAGUUAAAAAGCUCGUAGUUGAAUUUCGGGACUAAUAUGUCGGUCGUGCCUCGGUACGUACUGGCUUAUUGGUUUCUCCUUUCUGAAGAACCAUGAUGUCAUUUAUUUGGUGUCGUGGGGAAUCAGGACUGUUACUUUGAAAAAUUAGAGUGUUUAAAGCAGGCUCACGCUUGAAUACAUUAGCAUGGAAUAAUGAAAUAGGACGUUUGAUUCUAUUUUGUUGGUUUCUAGGAUCGACGUAAUGAUUAAUAGGGAUAGUUGGGGGCAUUAGUAUUCAAUUGUCAGAGGUGAAAUUCUUGGAUUUAUUGAAGACUAACUAUUGCGAAAGCAUUUGCCAAGGAUGUUUUCAUUAAUCAAGAACGAAAGUUAGGGGAUCGAAGACGAUCAGAUACCGUCGUAGUCU